AGCGAACGCUGGCGGCAGGCCUAACACAUGCAAGUCGAACGAAGUCUUCGGACUUAGUGGCGGACGGGUGAGUAACACGUGGGAUCGUGCCUUUAGGUUCGGAAUAACUCAGGGAAACUUGUGCUAAUACCGAAUGUGCCCUUCGGGGGAAAGAUUUAUCGCCUUUAGAGCGGCCCGCGUCUGAUUAGCUAGUUGGUGGGGUAAUGGCCCACCAAGGCUACGAUCAGUAGCUGGUCUGAGAGGAUGACCAGCCACAUUGGGACUGAGACACGGCCCAAACUCCUACGAGAGGCAGCAGUGGGGAAUCUUGCGCAAUGGGCGAAAGCCUGACGCAGCCAUGCCGCGUGGAUGAUGAAGGUCUUAGGAUUGUAAAAUCCUUUCACCGGUGAAGAUAAUGACUGUAGCCGGAGAAGAAGCCCCGGCUAACUUCGUGCCAGCAGCCGCGGUAAUAC
rnacentral:rRNA from 1 species